UUCUUUGAUAGCGCUGCAAACCCUUGGUGUUCUCUAAAUGAGCUUCAUGAGGUAGUCCCUGAUAUGGUUUCACUCCACAGGUGGGCCUUUUCAGGGUUCAUUAGUGGAGUUUCUUCCUUAUUAAUGGAAAAGCAAAGAGAAAGAG